rnacentral:rRNA from 1 species
GGUGAAAUUCUUGGAUCGUCGCAAGACGGACAGAAGCGAAAGCAUUUGCCAAAAACGUUUUCAUUGAUCAAGAACGAAAGUUAGAGGUUCGAAGGCGAUCAGAUACCGCCCUAGUUCUAACCAUAAACGAUGCCAGCUAGCGAUCCGCCGACGUUCCUCCGAUGACUCGGCGGGCAGCUUCCGGGAAACCAAAGCUUUUGGGUUCCGGGGGAAGUAUGGUUGCAAAGCUGAAACUUAAAGGAAUUGACGGAAGGGCACCACCAGGAGUGGAGCCUGCGGCUUAAUUUGACUCAACACGGGAAACCUCACCAGGCCCGGACACCGGAAGGAUUGACAGAUUGAGAGCUCUUUCUUGAUUCGGUGGGUGGUGGUGCAUGGCCGUUCUUAGUUGGUGGAGCGAUUUGUCUGGUUAAUUCCGAUAACGAACGAGACUCUGGCCUGCUAACUAGGCGUAUUUCCGACAUCUCGAAGGCCCGCCGGCACGGUGCGUUCGCGUACCGAGUCGCGCGCGGUUUUUACUGUCGGCGUACAAACAAUUCUUCUUAGAGGGACAGGCGGCUUCUAGCCGCACGAGAUAGAGCAA